UACGUAGGGGGCAAGCGUUGUCCGGAAUCAUUGGGCGUAAAGAGCGUGUAGGCGGCCCGAUAAGUCCGCUGUGAAAGUCCAGGGCUCAACCCUGGGAUGCCGGUGGAUACUGUCGGGCUCGAGUCCGGAAGAGGCGAGUGGGAAUUCCGUGGUGUAGCGGUGAAAUGCGCAGAUAUCAGGAGGAACACCAAUGGCGAAGGCAGCUCGCUGGGACGUGACUGACGCUGAGACGCGAAAGCGUGGGGAGCAAACAGG
rnacentral:rRNA from 1 species